CCAAGUGUGUUUGCUGUGCGGCUGACAGCCUGACUCCCGGGUCCUGUUGCUCUCUGUCCUGUAAAUUAAGAGCAGAUGGAGUGGAUAAACUGAGAGCGCAGGAGAAGGUAACACAAGUCAGAACUUCCACCAAGGGCAUUACUGAGACAUGGAGAACAUUGAUAAUUCUCUGGAUGGCAGUGAUGUGUCAGAACCAGCAAAACCAGAAGCCGGACUUGAAGUGGCUCAGUCGAUCCUGACCUGACCACAGCCCGACUGAGCAGGAUGACAGGACUCCUGGCAGACUUCAAGCUGUCUGGCCACCCCCAAAGACAAAAGACACAGAAGAAAAAGUGGGACUGAAGUACACUGAAGCAGGUAAUGUGAAAGGAAGCUAGGGACCCGGGAAGGAAUCUCUUCCUGCAAUGGCUUUUAGUUCUAGCUUAGAAUUUGGGGUUUUAUUUCAUUAUAAAAUGUAAUGCUGAAGGCUUUCUUUUUGGUUUUGCUGUUAAAGUGAACCUUUGCACACUUAUUGUUAAAGAGCCUCUGAAAGAUGAAAGAUGAAUGGAGUGGAAUGAAUGAAAAGGGGCAUGUGUGUGAAGUAGGAGAACCUUGGAGGACCUGAUGGAGAAGGUAGAUUGCAAAUCCCUCAGGAAGCCGGUGGUUGGUCCUCAUACAAUUUUGUGAGCUGGCAGUGUUGCUAGGAGAGGCAGAGUAUGGUUCUCUAGAGCUGUAAUCUGAUUUGUUGUUUGUCUUUGAGUAAUGCUUUUGAGAUAAAGGAACCUUGUGCAGAGUGAAUGUACAGAUACCAUAUCAGUUACUCGUUCACUUUUGUGAGACAAAGCUUUAUUUAAUGCACGGCCAACUUUAAAGCAACCCAACUCUCUGGAAACCUGCC
rnacentral:sRNA from 1 species